CGAACGCUGGCGGCGUGCUUAACACAUGCAAGUCGAACGCGAAAGGGACUUCGGUCCUGAGUAAAGUGGCGCACGGGUGAGUAACGCGUAGAUAACCUGUCUUCAUGUCUGGAAUAAUACGCCGAAAGGGGUACUAAUACCGGAUAUUCUUGCUUUUCAUAAGUUAUGCAAGCAAAGGUGGCCUCUGCAUAUGCUACUGCAUGAAGAGGGGUCUGCGUACCAUUAGCUAGUAGGUGGGGUAAUGGCCUACCUAGGCGACGAUGGUUAGCGGGUCUGAGAGGAUGAUCCGCCACACUGGCACUGGAACACGGGCCAGACUCCUACGGGAGGCAGCAGUGAGGAAUAUUGCGCAAUGGGGAAACCCUGACGCAGCGACGCCGCGUGAGUGAAGGAAGGCCUUCGGGUCGUAAAGCUCUGUCAAGAGGAAAGAAGUGUACAAUGGCUAAUACCUGUUGUAUUUGACGGUACCUCUAAAGGAAGCACCGGCUAACUCCGUGCCAGCAGCCGC
rnacentral:rRNA from 1 species